AUGGACGUCGCCGUCGCCGCCGCCCUGGUUCCCACCCGGACCCCAACCCUCCGUCUCCCCUCAUCCCGCCCCUCCUCCGUGAGGCCCCUCACCCCGACCGCCGGCCGUCCAGCUCGGAUCCUCUCGCUCGCCCGCCGCGCGCCUGUCGCCGCCGCCGCCCUCGGGGUAUCCCAAGAUACAGGGUUCGCGAUGCCCGGUGCCGACAUUGUUACCCAGAACGACUUACUCAUCAUCGGCCCAGGUGUGCUUGGGCGACUGGUAGCCGAGAAGUGGCUAAAGGAACACCCAGGAUGCAAAGUUUAUGGCCAGACCGCAAGCACAGACCAUCACAGCGAGCUAACCAAUAUUGGCAUCAUUCCCUCCUUGAAGGGAUCCACUAUCUCUCAAAAGGCUCCAUAUGUUAUUUUCUGCGCUCCUCCAUCCCGUUCUGAUGAUUACCCCGGCGAUUUGAGAGUGGCUGCCUCAAAUUGGAACGGAGAAGGUUCUUUCCUGUUUACGUCGAGUACUGCUCUUUAUGACUGUAGUGACAACAGAUUGUGCAAUGAGGAUUGUCCAUCUAUUCCAGUGGGCAGGGGUCCUCGUACUGAUGUUCUUCUUAGAGCAGAAAAUGUUGUCCUGGAGGCAGGAGGCUGUGUUCUCAGGCUAGCAGGACUUUAUAAAAUAGAUAGGGGUGCUCAUUAUUUCUGGUUGAGGAAGGGAACACUGGACUCGCGACCAGAUCAUAUUAUCAAUCAGAUCCAUUAUGAGGAUGCGGCAUCCCUUGCAAUUGCCAUAAUGAAAAAGAGACCUCGGGCUCGUAUAUUUUUGGGCUGUGACAAUAAGCCUCUUUCCAGGCAAGAAAUAAUGGACGCUGUUAACAAAAGUGGGAAGUUCGACACGGAAUUCCAAGGUUUCACUGGUACCGGCGGUCCGUUGGGGAAGAGGAUGGAGAAUUCCAAAACCCGGGCCGAUAUCGGGUGGGAGCCCCAAUACCCAAGCUUCACAGAGUUCCUCGGCGUCGACAGUUAG
rnacentral:rRNA from 1 species